rnacentral:rRNA from 1 species
UACGUAGGGGGCAAGCGUUGUCCGGAAUCAUUGGGCGUAAAGAGCGUGUAGGCGGCCCGAUAAGUCCGCUGUGAAAGUCCAGGGCUCAACCCUGGAAUGCCGGUGGAUACUGUCGGGCUCGAAUCCGGAAGAGGUGAGUGGAAUUCCUGGUGUAGCGGUGAAAUGCGCAGAUAUCAGGAGGAACACCGGUGGCGAAGGCGGCUAUCUGGACAGAGUCUGACGCUGAGGCGCGAAAGCUAGGGGAGCAAACAGG